UACGAAGGGUGCAAACGUUGCUCGGAAUCACUGGGCGUAAAGGGUGCGUAGGCGGGUUUUUAAGUCAGAGGUGAAAUCCUGGAGCUCAACUCCAGAACUGCCUUCGAUACUGAGAGUCUUGAGUCCGGGAGAGGUGAGUGGAACUGCGAGUGUAGAGGUGAAAUUCGUAGAUAUUCGCAAGAACACCAGUGGCGAAGGCGGCUCACUGGCCCGGUACUGACGCUGAGGUGCGAAAGCGUGGGGAGCAAACAGG
rnacentral:rRNA from 1 species